UACGUAGGGGGCGAGCGUUGUCCGGAUUUAUUGGGCGUAAAGGGCUCGUAGGCGGUCUGUCGCGUCGGUAGUGAAAACUCAGGGCUUAACCCUGAGCCUGCUUCCGAUACGGGCAGACUAGAGGUAUGCAGGGGAGAAUGGAAUUCCUGGUGUAGCGGUGAAAUGCGCAGAUAUCAGGAGGAACACCGGUGGCGAAGGCGGUUCUCUGGGCAUUACCUGACGCUGAGGAGCGAAAGUGUGGGGAGCGAACAGG
rnacentral:rRNA from 1 species